AUGGGAGUAAUCAUCCAAAAUGACAAGAUAGUAAAGAAAACCGGAGUUACUCGGAACAAGCAAGGUCCACACAUCACUAUGAAUCAACUGAAAUGGAAAGGACACAACUGUGGAGUAGGAACUAAACAGAAGGUGAACAUGUUUGUCAGCAUGACAUGCGUCACAAGUAUGAGCAUCCAUUUUAUUAUAGGAAAAGGAAAAUCCUCGCAAAAUUUGCCGAAAAGUGGUGGUGCUAGGGUGGCCGAGGCUGGACGAGGUACAAAUCUCCAGGGCUGUCACAUCGGCGAAGGACCAUCCGCAUACGAGCAUCCUUGA
rnacentral:rRNA from 1 species